AGCGUUGUUCGGAUUUACUGGGCGUAAAGGGCGCGUAGGCGGUCGUGACAAGUCACUUGUGAAAUCUCCGGGCUUAACUCGGAACGGUCAAGUGAUACUGUCGGACUAGAGUACAGAAGGGGCAACUGGAAUUCUCGGUGUAGCGGUGAAAUGCGUAGAUAUCAGGAGGAACACCGACGGCGAAGGCAGCACUCUGGGCCGGUACUGACGCUGAGGAGCGAAAGCGUGGGGAGCAAACAGG
rnacentral:rRNA from 1 species